GAUGAAGAACGCAGCGAAAUGCGAUAAGUAAUGUGAAUUGCAGAAUUCAGUGAAUCAUCGAAUCUUUGAACGCACAUUGCGCCCGUCAGUAUUCUGGCGGGCAUGCCUGUUCGAGCGUCAUUACGCCCCUCAAGUCCCCUGUGGACUUGGUGUUGGGGAUCGGCGAGGCUGGUUUUCCAGCACAGCCGUCCCUUAAAUUAAUAGGCGGUCUCGCCGUGGCCCUCCUCUGCGCAGUAGUAAAACACUCGCAACAGGAGCCCGGCGCGGUCCACUGCCGUAAAACCCCCCAACUUUUUAUAGUUGACCUCGAAUCAGGUAGGACUACCCGCUGAACUUAAGCAUAUCAAUAAGCGGAGGA
rnacentral:misc_RNA from 1 species